CAGAAAAGUGCUUGGUGACUUUAAAAAGAGUAGGUAAAGAGAGAGAUAAAAGAUAAUUAUGGAUGGCAUGGACAUUUUAAACCUCCAUUAUCUCACUAGAGGGUAAUUGCCCUAUGACAGCAAUGCAGACAUGAAUGGGGACACAUGAAGAACAUCUCAGGAUGUACAUUAUUUAUGGUGUCUUUGUGAAAUAUAAUUUUUAAUGCUUUGUCCCAAUAUUUUUCUACAGUAAAGUAAUUUUCUCCCUUUUGAGCUAGUUAUUCAGCCUCAGUGGCCUUUCAGAAACUCCUGAAUCAAGUUGGCAGCCUAGAGAAAUUCCAGAUCCUUCAAAUAGCUUGUUUUUAUCCUCAAUUCAAUUGUGAUACCUAACACUAUCUUGACGAAUUUUACUGUAGCUGUUCCUAGUCAUCACUGCUGGAUACCCAUCCUUGACAAGGACACUGUUCUAGACAAUGACACUGAGAUCCUGAGUCAUGAUGACCUCCUGAUUAUCUCCAUCCCCUUGGAUUCAAACCUGAGAUUGGAUAAGUGUCAUUGUCUGGCCAGCAACAGUGGCAUCUUCUUCAUUUGAAUGGCACUUUCACUACUGAGACAGAACCAGACACUGAACCCUAUCUGGAUGGCUUGGUUAUGACAGAAGCAACUUCCUUUCCACCACUGUAACUGAGGCGGCUGUCAGAGUCAGCUUAGUGGCUGAUUGUGACCAACAAUACCCAGAAAGGCUUCAAGGAACUUAGAAAAGUUGCACACAUAAAUGGAAUGAAGAAUUCUGGAGACACCCUAACCAUGGAGGUAAGACUGUCUUAUCACACCAGCAGAAAUAAUAACUAGCAAAAAAAAAGUGGCACGUAGGGUGAUGUCUUUGUGAUAAUAAAGCUCAUAUGCACACUAAAGGCAUUUGUACUCAUUGUGGGAAGAACAUGGAAGAUAUACACUGCGUAGUGAAAAGCCCUUGGAUACUGUAAGUGUAGCUCAAGGAACCAUGGCUCUUGGGUAAUGAGAAUGAAGAAAGAAGCACAGACAUUUGGAGGUAGACGUCAUGCAUUUCAGAAGCCACAGGAACUCCAAUUGGGUUGGGAGCCAUUAGUACUAAAUAAAACCAAGAACUUGUCAUCAUCCUUUUGAAAUACAGAGACACUGAAUCAAAAUAAAUGUGAAAAUCAUGAA